AUAAAAAGCAGCUCAGAAAGGCAAAAGCGGAGAGAGGAAGAGGGAGAGAGAGAGAAGGGAGAGCUGGAGAGGAAAGAGGAGCGCAAAAGGGUUUUUGGAAAAUGUAGAUGAGAUUCGAAAUCCGUUUUUCCAAAAGCUCGAUCCAAAGAGCUAAAACAGUGGCUGAGAUUUGAGGCUGAGUUGUUCAUCCACGGAUCACUGUGUGCCGUGGAUGUCGAUGUUCCCAAAGUGUUAGUGGAGCCAUGGAGUGUUUCAGGGGCAUUACUCGUUUAAAAUGUUCUCUGUUUCACCAGCUUUUAUUAUUCACAAUUUGGUUAUCUGGUUUGCAAGAUGUGGUGGCAACAGAGAAGCCACCUCCGCCCAAUUCUGAUACUCCUAACACGUUUGUUCUUUCCGACCCACCUCUUGGACUUUUUGAUCCCAUUGAAAUUUCACCUGCGGUGGUUCCUCGUUAUCCAUAUCCUGGGGAACCAUUGUCACCAAUGUAUCCUUCCUUUCCCAGCACGUAUGAGCCAGUCUUGACUGGAAAAUGCCCAGUAAAUUUUUCCACCAUCUCAAGUAUUAUGGGAAAAACAGCAUCAGAUUGUUCUGCACCUUUAGCGGCACUCGUUGGGAACGUGAUAUGUUGUCCCCAGGUUAGAAGUCUACUUCACAUUUUCCAAGGUGACCACAGCAGCGGCUCAGAUACACUUGUUUUGCAAAAAGCAGCUGCGGAUGAUUGUUUCACAGAUAUCAUUAGGAUAUUAGCCAGUAAAGGGGCAAACAGUACUAUCCCUACACUUUGCUCCAUCAAAUCAUCAAAUCUCACCGGUGGAUCUUGUCCGGUGAAGGAUAUAACUAAAUUUGAGAAAAUAGUAAACACGAGCAAAUUGCUGGACGCCUGCAGCACUGUUGAUCCACUUAAAGAGUGUUGCAGACCUGUUUGUCAGCCUGCAAUUAUUGAGGCCUCAUUUCGUAUCUCAUUAAGAGAAUCAAGUCUUGUGGAGAAUGCUAAUAUAAUUGGGAAGCCUACUGAGAUGGAUGUUUUGAACGACUGCAAAGGGGUGGUGUAUGCAUGGCUUUCUAGGAACCUCCCAUUAGAAGCUGCCAACACUGCAUUCAGGAUACUAUCGAGCUGCAAGGUUAACAAAGAUUGUCCUUUGGAAUUCAAAGAGCCUUUAGCAGUAGUUAAAGCAUGCCGUGAUUUAGAUUCUCCAAAUCCUUCUUGUUGUAGCUCAUUAAAUACUUACAUUGCGGCAAUACAGAAGCAGAUGCUAAUUACAAACAGGCAAGCCAUAAACUGCGCGACGUUGUUUGGAUCCAUGCUUCAGAAGGGUGGUGUUAUGACAAAUGUCUAUGAGCUUUGUGAUGUUGACUUGAAAGACUUCAGCCUUCAGGCAUAUGGACAACAAGGUUGUUUGCUUCGAAGUUUGCCUGCGGAUGUCAUAUUUGACAAUUCUUCAGGCUUUAGCUUUACAUGUGACCUUAGUGACAAUAUUGCUGCACCAUGGCCUUCUUCAUCCUCACUUUCAUCCAUGUCCCUCUGUGCUCCUGAGAUGUCAUUGCCUGCAUUGCCAACAUCUCACAAAUCUGGAAAUCCUGGUGAACGCCGUGGUGGAGUUGGAUAUGUUGUGCCCAUAUUUUCAUUUUGCAUUUUCAGCAUACUGUUUUGAAGAGCAUGCUUUGACGGUCUCGGAUAUGAAGUGAGAAUUUUCCCAUUACAAGCUUCUCCCACCCAUUAUAACAGCUAUUAAAGAGCAUAAAUGGCAACGCUAGUCCAAUCUGGCUUAUGCCUCACCCGGUGUUGAUCAGAUGAUUCAUCUGGGGCCCACUCUAUUGAGCCCAUAUGGUAGAAUUCUCCCUGAUCAGAGAUCCUCACCGUACGUAGGAAGGUGAGCUAGUAGCUGCUUUCUUAGACCAUUGUUCGUAACUUAUUUUAAUGCAUGGUUAGAUCUCUAAUGAGUGAUAAAACUUUUCUUGUCCCAUAAAAUGAAUGGCCUAGAUCAUCAUGUGAUGGGGCAGAAGUGGUGAACAGAUAGGGCGAAGCCCUAUGCUUGCUUGCUUCUCUCAUUUAUUAAAACUAUCUCGACACCAGCCACUUAACAAUUCCUAGCAUCUGGAAAUAUGUUACCCAAAUACAUUCAGUCAGAGAAGAUUAUGGCCAUCCCUCUACCAUUGGCCGGAGGUGUGGCCCACCUUAAGAGGUUCUAUUUUCGUAAAGUGCCCCCACACGGUUGUCAUAUGUGCUACUGCCCAACUUCUAAGUACCCCUGGCAUGCAAACAGCUAUCUUCAAGUUCCCUACAUAUGCAGCAUAUGCCUCCAUCAUAAAGCAGCAUCACACGUUCCAUCACCCAUCUUUUAGGGUAGUCAUAUUUUAAUGUGCGACGCAACCUAAUGUGCCGUGUGCAAUGUGCAAUUGAGUCAUAUGUGCCACAUGGCCACUGAUCUCGAAGAACCUCAUGUGCGGCAUGCCCCAAUGUGUGGGAUAUGUAACAUGCGCUGCCAACUCCUUCAAUUGCCUCACAUUUAGGGGCAUGUAUGUGCCCCCACAUGUUCCACAGUCCAUCUUAAAGCAUCGUGCAGGUGCCAAUGUACUACAUGUGCGACAUGUAUAAUCACCCAUUAUAAUGUACCAUACACCCCCAACGCGCCAUUGUUGCAACACCGGCUACCACAUCUUCUAGCACCCCACGUUUGCAGAUGUGCCACAUGAGCAGUCAUUUGACUUCAAGCGCUCCACUUGUGCCACGUCUCAACAUGCCACAUUGUGGAACAUUGUGAUCAACUAUCUUCAAGCAUUCCACAGAUUGAUUCUGGAUCGUAGACUCACAUCAUGUAUCUCAUGGAGUGGUACCUCAGGAGCCAGAGACCCAGUGAUAUGGAGCGCUACGUUAUCAAUGGGUGGCUUUCAAGUAGGAGAAUCGAUUCGAAUGAUUUUGUAUUUCUUUUAAAUAUAUAUAAUAGGAUGCAUUUGAAUUUUUGAAACCCUUCCAUUUAUUUUAUGGUGAUUUGAAAUAAAAUAAUUCAUUUGGAUUUCUUCUAAAUUUAAUGUUAGAUUGAGGGCCUCGAUACUCUAAUCGUGUAUGUCAUAUGGACGUGAAUGAUGGCAACCUCAUUUACAGACAACAAUAAAAGUGAUGAUCAUAAAUAGGUUUGAUUCCUA